GAUGAACGCUAGCGGGAGGCCUAACACAUGCAAGCCGAGCGGUAUUGUUUCUUCGGAAAUGAGAGAGCGGGCGUACGGGUGCGGAACACGUGUGCAACCUACCCUUUAUCUGGAGGAUAGCCUUUCGAAAGGAGAUUAAUACUCCAUAAUAUAUUGAUUGGCAUCAGUUGAUAUUGAAAAGCUCCGGCGGAUAAAGAUGGGCACGCGCAAGAUUAGCUAGUUGGUGAGGUAACGGCUCACCAAGGCGAUGAUCUUUAGGGGGCCUGAGAGGUGAUCCCCCACACUGGUACUGAGACACGGACCAGAC
rnacentral:rRNA from 1 species